GAUGAACGCUAGCUACAGGCUUAACACAUGCAAGUCGAGGGGCAGCAUGGGGUUUGCUUGCAAAUCCUGAUGGCGACCGGCGCACGGGUGAGUAACGCGUAUCCAACCUUCCCGUCACUCGGGGACAGCCCAGCGAAAGCUGGAUUAACCCCCGAUGUUGUCAUAUGAUAGCAUUAGAGUGUGACGAAAGGCUAACGGUGACGGAUGGGGAUGCGUCUGAUUAGGUAGUAGGCGGGGUAACGGCCCACCUAGCCGACGAUCAGUAGGGGUUCUGAGAGGAAGGUCCCCCCACAUUGGAACUGAGACACGGUCCAAACUCCUACGGGAGGCAGCAGUGAGGAAUAUUGGUCAAUGGGCGAGAGCCUGAACCAGCCAAGUAGCGUGCAGGACGACGGCCCUACGGGUUGUAAACUGCUUUUAUGAAGGAUAAAGUCACCCACGUGUGGGUGUUUGCAUGUACUUUANGAAUAAGGACCGGCUAAUUCCGUG
rnacentral:rRNA from 1 species